GAUGAAGAACGUAGCGAAAUGCGAUAAGUAAUGUGAAUUGCAGAAUUCAGUGAAUCAUCGAAUCUUUGAACGCACAUUGCGCCCGCCAGUAUUCUGGCGGGCAUGCCUGUUCGAGCGUCAUUUCAACCAUCAAGCCCUGCUUGCGUUGGGGUCCUGCGGCUGCCCGCAGGCCCUGAGAACCAGUGGCGGGCUCGCUAGUCACACCGAGCGCAGUAAUACAUCUCGCUUUGGGCGUGCGGCGGGUUCUUGCCGUUAAACACCCCCUUUUUACCAAGGUUGACCUCGGAUCAGGUAGGAAUACCCGCUGAACUUAAGCAUAUCAAUAAGCGGAGGA
rnacentral:misc_RNA from 1 species